rnacentral:rRNA from 1 species
GACGAACGCUGGCGGCGUGCUUAACACAUGCAAGUCGAACGGUAAGGCCCUUCGGGGUCCACGAGUGGCGAACGGGUGAGUAACACGUGGGUGAUCUGCCCUGCACUUCGGGAUAAGCCUGGGAAACUGGGUCUAAUACCGGAUAGGACUCCGGACUGCAUGGUCUGGGGUGGAAAGCUUUUGGGGUGUGGGAGGGGCCCGCGGCCUAUCAGGUUGUUGGUGGGGUGAUGGCCUACAAGGGAGAAGACGGGUAGCCGGCAUGGGAGGGUGACCGGCGACACUGGGACUGAGGGACGGCCCAGACUCCUACGGGAGGCAGCAGUGGGGAAUAUUGCACAAUGGGCGCAAGCCUGAUGCAGCGACGCCGCGUUAGGGAAGACGGCCUUCUGGUUGUAAACCUCUUUCAGCAUCGACGAAGCGAAAGUGACGGUAGGUGCAGAAGAAGGACCGGCCAACUACGUGCCAGCCGCCGCCGUAA